rnacentral:ncRNA from 1 species
AGGUGAACGCCGGCGCGGUCCGGCGGAGGUUGGAUCCCGUCCCGUCGGGGCGGGCGCACUACCGGCCGAUCUUAUCUCCGCCCUGUCGGCGAGGUCGAGCGAGAGCGUGCAAGUCGGGACCCGAAAGAUGGUGAACUAUGCCUGAGGAGGUUGAAGCCAGAGGAAACUCUGGUGGAGGACCGUAGCGAUUCUGACGUGCAAAUCGAUCGUCAAAUUUGGGUAUAGGGGCGAAAGACUAAUCGAACCGUCUAGUAGCUGGUUCCCUUCGAAGUUUCCCUCAGGAUAGCUGGCGCUCUGUCGCAGUUUUAUCUGGUAAAGCGAAUGAUUAGAGGUCUUGGGGGCGAAACGCCCUCAACCUAUUCUCAAACUUUAAAUUGGUAAGAAGCCCGACUCGCUCGUUUGGAGCCGGGCAUGGAAUGCGAGUGCCAAGUGGGCCACUCUUGGUAAGCAGGACUGGCGAUGCGGGAUGAACCGAACGCCGGGUUAAGGCGCCCGACGCGACGCUCAUCAGAGCCCACAAAAGGUGUUGGUUGAUAUAGACAGCAGGACGGUGGCCAUGGAAGUCGGAAACCGCUAAGGAGUGUGUAACAACUCACCUGCCGAAUCAAUCAGCCCUGAAAAUGGAUGGCGCUGGAGCGUCGGGCCUAUACCCGGCCGUCGCGGCGGUACGAGCAUCGAGUUGGUGCGCUAGGCCGCACCUAGUAGGAGGGCCGCGGCGGCGGGCGUAGAAGCCUAGGGCG